rnacentral:rRNA from 1 species
AUGAAUUGGUGUAAGUUUAUUGCCAACUUCAUGCACGAUGCAUUCUCAAGCAAGAUGUACCAAAAGGGUUGUCGACUGCAUUUAAUGCUCAUGUAUGUCGACUGUCUUGAUCUGUCCACCGUGGAUUUCACUGGGAUAGGAGGCCCGCCGCCUAUGCACAAGUUUGUUGUUUCUGCAUGGACUAUCAACACUGUCAAGGUUGUGCUUGCCACAGACAGGCUGAUGGCCAAGCAUGCUAUAGACUACAGCGUGUUUGGGGGGCCUCAAAACAUUGAAAAGUGGAUGGACGUGCACUCAGCUCCGUCUUGCCCUACUGAGGCGAGGGCACCUAUUGAGCAUCUAAUUGGGCAGUUUGCAUCCGGAAUGACCGGCUUGCUCGGGAAGUUGGUUGAGGGGUGGAUGUCCCUCAGUGGCUCUAACAGCGACGCGGUUGCGAGGCAGUUCACUUCAUUUGUCCCAGAACGUACACAUCGGCCAACCGGUUGCCGUGGCCGGGUGAAGAAGACUGAUACGCGUGGGGCCAAUCAUAUCAUUAAGGACCCACUCGAACCUGCAUUCAAAGUUGUCAACAGGGGGCAACUCAGAUGUUCAUGA